GCAGUCGUGGCCGAGUGGUUAAGGCGAUGGACUAGACAUUUAUUGGGGUCUCCCCGCACAGGUUCGAAUGCUGACGAAUGCG
rfam:Ixodes scapularis strain Wikel colony gcontig_1107728581462, whole genome shotgun sequence.